AUACUUACCUGGCAGGGGAGACACCAUGACCACGAAGGUGGUUUUUGCAGGGUGAGGCUUAUCCAUCACACUCUGGAUGUGCUGACCCCUGCAAUUUCCCCAAAUGUGGGAAACUCAACUGCAUAAUUUGUGGUAGUAGGGGGACUGUGUUUGCACUCUA